rnacentral:rRNA from 1 species
ACUACGAUUUCUUCGGAAUGACGGUCUUGUGACUGAGUGGCGGACGGGUGAGUAACGCGUGGGUAACCUACCUCACACAGGGGAAUAACAGUUAGAAAUGACUGCUAAUACCGCAUAAGCGCACGGUACCGCAUGGUACAGUGUGAAAAACUCCGGUGGUGUGAGAUGGACCCGCGUCUGAUUAGCUGGUUGGUGGGGUAACGGCCUACCAAGGCGACGAUCAGUAGCCGAACUGAGAGGUUGAACGGCCACAUUGGGACUGAGAUACGGCCCAGACUCC